UACGUAGGGGGCUAGCGUUGUCCGGAAUCAUUGGGCGUAAAGCGCGCGUAGGCGGCCCGGUAAGUCCGCUGUAAAAGUCAAAGGCUCAACCUUUGAAUGUCAGUGGAUACUGCCGGGCUAGAGUCCGGAAGAGGCGAGUGGAAUUCCUGGUGUAGCGGUGAAAUGCGCAGAUAUCAGGAGGAACACCGGUGGCGAAGGCGGUUCUCUGGGCCUUACCUGACGCUGAGGAGCGAAAGCCAGGGGAGCAAACGGG
rnacentral:rRNA from 1 species